rnacentral:rRNA from 1 species
GACGAACGCUGGCGGCGUGCUUCACACAUGCAAGUCGCACGAAGUGGCGAACGGGUGAGUAACGCGUAAUCAACCUGCCCUUCAGAGGGGGACAACAGUUGGAAACUACUGCUAAUCCCGCAUACUGACGGAGUUGAUUGCGUCUGAUUAGCUAGUGGGCGGGGUAAGGCCCACCAAGGCGAGGAUCAGUAGCCGGGCUGAGAGGAUGAACGGCAACAUUGGGACUGAGACACGGCCCAGACUCCUACGGGAGGCAGCAGUGGGGAAUCUUCCGCAAUGGACGAAAGUCUGACGGAGCAACGCCGCGUGAGUGAUGACGGCCUUCGGGUUGUAAAGCUCUGUUAAUCGGGACGCGGUACCGGAAUAGAAAGCCACGGCUAACUACGUGCCAGCCGCCGCGGUAAUUC